rnacentral:lncRNA from 1 species
CAGCGCAAUAACGGUCUUCUCUGUCCUCUCCCGUGUUCUGUUAUCUUUCCAUCUUCCGCCCGUCUCCUCUUAGUGCUGAGGAAAGGUCAGGUGGUGACUGGUUACUACCGUUGGCUCCAGAGGAGAGGAGGCUACCUGUGGAUCCAGUCCAGUGCCACCGUCUCCAUCAACCACAAAGCUCCACAUGAACGCAACGUCAUCUGGGUCAACUACAUCCUGAGUCGAACAGAGAUGCCUGACACUCCCCUGGAUAUACUGCAGCUACCAGAGAAUGUGAGAGCAGAGCGACUUCGAGUUAGCUCGUCCCCCACCGACAGCUCCCCGCAGGCCCGAGGCACGCAGCCAUUGAAGAGCUCAGUGGGGAAGAGUGACCUCGACACUAAAGGCAGAGAGAAAUUCACCACCGCUGCCAUCCAAUCAGAAGACAGGAGGAAGCGCCUGCUGAGGUCCGACCCCGAGGGUGCUCCUCCCGAAACCCGUCGCAGACUGGAGGAGCUCCGCCACACAGAGGAGAGUGUAUCAGCCUCCUCUGACCUGGCAAGCGAAAGCGAGGGGGAGGAGGAGGAAGAGACAGAGUGGGACCAGGGGGGAGACAGUGACAGACUGAAACAGGAAGACACUGGAGGAGGUAAACAGAGUAGGGGAGGAGAGACCCCCACUAGAGGGGAGAGGGGGAGCAGGGUGCACAACGGCCGGGCUGUGAUCCAGCAACUGAAGAGUGUAGUGACCCCGUCUCCCCUGGCUGGCAGCCCCAGCAUCAAGACUGAACACGAAGCCCUGACCACCGGGGGGCGCUGGGGGUCACACACACAAACCUCCACCUCCCACACACACACCACACAGCCCCAACCCUCACAUGCACACACACCCUCCAGCAGCCUCAACGGCGACAGCCCCACCACCCCAAUCCCCGACUCUUCUUCCAGCAGUGAGGCCCCCCCAAAAGGGUUGUUCACUCCCCCGUCCCCAGCUCUGUCCCCCGCCAUGUCCGUGUCCUCCCCACUGCCCCGUGAGGACAGGAUUGUGUCGGGGGUGGUCAGUCGGAGCAGUGGCGGUGCAGGUAGCACUCCUGACUUUGAGCUGCUGCAGAGACUGGCUGCAGGCGGCGCAGCGGGGCGGGUCCUCUUCCACCCCCUUGCCCUCGGCCCGCAGGGCCCUCAGAGCCUCUACGCUCCCAGCACUAUUCGCUACGCUCCACCUGAGCUGCCCCCCUCCCACCACCACGGCUUAGAACACAGCGAUGGCCUGCAGCUACGCUCGGACCACCACAAGGGACCCCCGCCAGCCUUCUUCCCCCACCUACAGCGGUUGGCUGGCUUACCACCCUUCAGUGGUUUCUCCCCGUCUGACAGCCCUUUCUCCUCCGGCCUGCCCUUCUGUAUGAAUGGACUGAGGGGGGCUGCAGGCUCCGAGGAGGACUGAGACUCAGACAGGAGGAGGUGAGAGGAGAAGAUAAAAAUGAAGAAUGGAGCAGAGAGACAGACCAGAAAGAGACAUUGUAAAGGGCAGGAGAGACAGAAGUGGCAGGACAUUAAGCCUCUGAGGAUAUUACUAAUUGGACAAUGAGUUGAAUAACUGCGAUUUAAAAUAUGUGACAAGUCGCUGCCAUAGGGAAUUAUUGUGUCUGCCCAUUGUGGACAAGUGACAGUGACUCUCAGAGAAAACAGGACAUGGAAACUUUUGACUGGUUGUCCCUCAAGACUUUUCGUCUCAACAAUUAUGAACUCUGCUCUGUGUCUUCCUCUAGAUGACUGUGUUGAUUUCUGUCUCUUCCACUCAGAGAAGCCAUAUUGUAUAUAGAGACAAAACCAUAAAGACCCUCAGCUCAAAUCCUCCUCACUGUCACUCCAAUUAACCCAAUUAACCCUAAAGCCAGUAGAAAGAGAUGGACACUUGUCCGUAGGAAUGAAAGCGACUUUGGAAUAUACAUUUUUAUUAUUGCAGUAUUAUACAAAUCAUCUCUUACACUGAGAUCCAGGUGAGAAUUUGAUUAUAGGGUUCAAAAUAGACAGAGAAAGCCCUCUGGUGUUUUUGUAUUGAGAUUUAAAAUGAUAAUGAUAAAAAGAAAUCCAAGUAUUCAUGAGUCAGCCAUACUUAAAGCACACUGUUGGGACAAAAGUAUGAAUAAUGUAGUCCCAGACAUUCCAUUAUAUAUAAGGGAAGAAAAUGCAAUGCAGACAGGAUGUUAUUUCUGUUGUUUGGUUAUCAGAAGAUUGUUUGUUUAACUGAGUAUUAAUUAUAGUAUAUUCUGUAUGAUGCUGCGGUUGUGUUUGUGUAUGAAAGCCAUAUUCUUGUUGUUUUUUUUUAUUGAUGAUUUUUUUUGUCACCAGAUAAAACGGGGGGGGGGAGGAUGGUGUGAAAGUUGUGUCUAGACAAACAAACGUUUUAUUGGAGGUACAAUAUCAUCCAAACACCUUUUUUUUAUUAUUCUCUAAAAAAAAAGAUCUUUCUGAAAAUGUUUUUAGGAGGGGAAAUGGUGCUGGACACAAGUGUUUGUCAUCAUUUAAACCUCUGUGUUUUUUUCUGAGCACUUACUGAAAUUUGUUCUAGUGUGAACUCAAAGCACUUCAUCACUUAGCACUCACUCACACAGUGUAGUAGAGGGGAUGAAUAGUCAUUCAAAAAGGCAGAUAAAUAAACAGACCAUGAGAGGUCAAUAAAAAAAUAACCUUAGAGUUAUGCUGAUUUUGGUUUCAGUUCAUCUCAGUUCAUUGGAAUUACUCUUAGGACUGAAAAAAACAAAACAUACAAAAUGCUAUAUACAAAAAAAAGAAAUAACAGUUUUUUAAUCAGUGCUUAAACUGAAAUGAGUCACAAACAAGUUGGCAGUUGUCUAAAAGAUGCCCAGACAAUUGAGAAUGUUCAUUCCAAAAUGUGACCCUUUUUGACAAAAUGUUGGUAUCAAUACAGCCAUAACACUGACAUUGAUAUAAAUACUCAGAAAUAAACAUCAGAUACUUCUCUAGCACUUUGGAAUAAAGUCCUUCAAACUGAUCAAAAUACACAGAUUUGUAAAAUCUGUUGAAAGCCAAGUCUUCAAAAUGAUCCACAAAGCCAGACACCGUAUGUACAAUGUUAUUGUUUCUCUUCCAAAAUUGAGAUUAUGGUGGACUGUCUGAUCUGAGGGCUCAGUUUAUGUGGAAAUCUCUAAAGUUCUGAUGUCUGACAGAAAAAAAAGAAGAAAAAACAUUUUUUAAUUGUUCAGAUCCGACGUGCACUACACACCCAUACCGUAGCUGGCACAUGCAAAUAUGUGUGAGCGCACAUAUUCUCGGGUGUUUAAUGGUAUAACGUGUGUAUGAUUGCGUGCGUGUGCGUUUGCUUGUUCAAGUGUGUCUGUUUUUGUAUUAAAUAGCUAACCCCUUGCCCAUCACUGUGAAUCUAACGUUAUCCCCCCAUCUUUGUGAAUACUCCACCCACUCAUCAAAUAAAAUGAACAAAUGUAAAAAGAAAAACAGUGAUACAGAUGACCAUAACAAUAAAAUAUUCCAGUAGAGGAG